GAUGAACGCUGGCGGCGUGCCUAAUACAUGCAACUCGAGCGAACAGACGAGGAGCUUGCUCCUCUGAUGUUAGCGGCGGACGGGUGAGUAACACGUGGAUAACCUACCUAUAAGACUGGGAUAACUUCGGGAAACCGGAGCUAAUACCGGAUAACAUGUUGAACCGCAUGGUUCAACAGUGAAAGACGGUCUUGCUGUCACUUAUAGAUGGAUCCGCGCCGCAUUAGCCAGUUGGUAAGGUAACGGCUUACCAAGGCAACGAUGCGUAGCCGACCUGAGAGGGUGAUCGGCCACACUGGAACUGAGACACGGUCCAGACUCCUACGGGAGGCAGCAGUAGGGAAUCUUCCGCAAAGGGCGAAAGCCUGACGGAGCAACGCCGCGUGAGUGAAGAAGGUCUUCGGAUCGUAAAACUCUGUUAUUAGGGAAGAACAAAUGUGUAAGUAACUAUGCACGUCUUGACGGUACCUAAUCAGAAAGCCACGGCUAACUACGUG
rnacentral:rRNA from 1 species